AUGUCCAUACCAUGUUGAAACAUCAGUUCUCCUCCAAUCCCCAAAGUUAAGCAAUGUUGAGCUUGGACAGCAGAAAGAUGGGUGACUGCUUGGGAAUACAAGAUACUGUAA